rnacentral:misc_RNA from 1 species
UUUCCGUAGGUGAACCUGCGGAGGGAUCAUUAAUGAGUUGUCAUGGGGUUCGAUGCUGGCAGCCAGUUUUUGGAUGCAUGUGCUUGCCCUAACAAUCAUCUUCUUCCAAACACCUGUGCACAUUUUUGAGGGAGUCUUGGGUUGGUUGCCGCUCUUGGGUGAUUUUCUCACAUUCCCUUAAAUCAUUAUACGCUAUUAACAAUGUUGAACGUGCUCUGUGCCGCAAGGCCAUUAAUAUAAUACAACUUUUAACAACGGAUCUCUUGGCUCUC